rnacentral:rRNA from 1 species
GACGAACGCUGGCGGCGUGCUUAACACAUGCAAGUCGAACGAAGAGCGACGGAAGCUUGCUUCUAUCAAUCUUAGUGGCGAACGGGUGAGUAACGCGUAAUCAACCUGCCCUUCAGAGGGGGACAACAGUUGGAAACGACUGCUAAUACCGCAUACGAUCUAACCUCGGCAUCGAGGAUAGAUGAAAGGUGGCCUCUACAUGUAAGCUAUCACUGAAGGAGGGGAUUGCGUCUGAUUAGCUAGUUGGAGGGGUAACGGCCCACCUAGGCGAUGAUCAGUAGCCGGUCUGAGAGGAUGAACGGCCACAUUGGGACUGAGACACGGCCCAGACUCCUACGGGAGGCAGCAGUGGGGAAUCUUCCGCAAUGGACGAAAGUCUGACGGAGCAACGCCGCGUGAGUGAUGACGGCCUUCGGGUUGUAAAGCUCUGUUAAUCGGGACGAAAGGCCUUCUUGCGAAUAGUGAGAAGGAUUGACGGUACCGGAAUAGAAAGCCACGGCUAACUACGUG